CACGCAGGCGGUCUGUCAAGUCGGAUGUGAAACCCCCGGGCUCAACCUGGGAACUGCAUUCGAAACUGGCAGGCUAGAGUCUUGUAGAGGGGGGUAGAAUUCCAGGUGUAGCGGUGAAAUGCGUAGAGAUCUGGAGGAAUACCGGUGGCGAAGGCGGCCCCCUGGACAAAGACUGACGCUCAGGUGCGAAAGCGUGGGGAGCAAACA
rnacentral:rRNA from 1 species